rnacentral:lncRNA from 1 species
ACGAAGCCAAAUUAGGCUUAUUUUGCCCAUAUCUUUUCAUCGGCUUUUCGUAACGUGAAUCCGAGGGCACCAACGCGUCGGAAAUACCCCCAAUUAGGUUUCUAGAGGGUUAAUUGCACUUAGAAAUCCUCAUGAGCAAAAGCACCAAUUUGGUGCCCUAGCUCCAAUACAUACAUCAAACCUAGGGUUUGAUCUCAAAGAGAAGCAAAAGUAGCUUCAUUAUACUCUAAAAAGUCCAUUAGAACCAUUCCUAACUCACUCCAAACCCUAGUUUGGAUUUCACCAUGAGAGGUGAUGAAGCUCUCCUUCAAGCUUUACCACACACACCAAGCACAUGGUCUUGAUCUCAAAAGAAGCAAAAGAAAAGCUUCAAAGACUCUAAACAUUCUACAAAAACCAUCUCUAGGUCACAUAGUUCCCAUUUUAGGGUUUUAGCAUGGUUAGGGUUGAAGCUUACCUCAAAGCUUUCCCUUUCUUCAAGCUAGAGAUGAAGGAGAGGGAGUUUCUUCACUUCUUCUUCUUCUUCUCCACUUUCUUCUUCUUCCUUUCCUUCUUUUCCUUCUCUUCUUCU